UACGGGGGGGGCAAGCGUUGUUCGGAAUUACUGGGCGUAAAGGGCUUGUAGGUGGCCAACUAAGUCAGACGUGAAAUCCCACGGCUUAACCGGGGAACUGCGUCUGAUACUGGAUGGCUUGAGUUUGGGAGAGGGAUGCGGAAUUCCAGGUGUAGCGGUGAAAUGCGUAGAUAUCUGGAGGAACACCGGUGGCGAAGGCGGGUCUCUGGGCCGAUACUGACGCUGAGGAGCGAAAGCGUGGGGAGCGAACAGG
rnacentral:rRNA from 1 species